UCUGCUGUUUAAACAAUCCGAGGUCCUACGUGACGGGUAUUACCGGCUGGUCGUGUUGUGGUGGAUUUGUUAAUCCAUGUGAUAGGAAGAAAUUCUUAUUAGUAGAAUGAUCUGUUUCCUACUCCAUAUUACAUUAUCACAUUAUUGUAUGUUAUUGAAAAUGACAGUUGGUAACAUCCAUUCAUCUUGGAAUGUCAACUCUCGACAAGAUGAAAACCAAAACCACGCAUAUGCACGCAUGCCUGUUUCGCAUUUGCACCUCCUUCAAACGUACCGAGAGCGCACACGAACGUAUCGACGCCGAGGCGCACGCUACAGGUGGCGGAGAUAAUGACUCAUGACAACGAUCCCGCUGCAGCCACAGAAGGGGAAUGUUCCGCAGCAUGGCUGAAGCCAGGGCCUCCACAGGAUCUUCUCCCAGGUGCAUUCAAGGACAGCCAACAAAACAGGACAUCUCUAACGCUGAAGACAAAGAAAACUCACUAUUUUUAUACCUCACGAUCAGCGAUGGACGGCCUCACUCGCCGUUGACUUACUGUCUGCAGGGUGCCAUCGUGCGGCGUGCAAGUGGCUGCCGCAGUAAUGAAACAUGAACUCGUGCUCCGAUCGAUC